CUCCGGAACAGACUGUUUCUACCUGGAGUUUCAUUGUCAGAUAUGAAACUCCGCUCCUUGGGCCCUGUGCGGUUUGGCCCUUCUGGCAUUCCUGUGUAAUUGUGCCACAGCUGUGGAGAGACACUAUUACAUUACAGCUGUUAAUAUUAACUGGGACUACACAUCUGCUGGACAGCACAGGACUGGGCCGUCAUAUAAAAAAAGUAGUAUACAGAGAGUACAAUGAGGGAUUCACACAGGCUAAACCACAUCCCUUAUCCUCAGGUAUUUUGAAUACCAAAGAUUUCUUUAUUUCAACAUUAAAAUCCAUCCAUCCAGUAUUAUAGAAUGCAUCUUAACUUUUAAAUCAUGAUUGUUUGAAACUAAUGUUCUAUUGUUACUUGGGUCGACAUUGUGAGGACAAGAGGGUGACACAAUCAUUGUCACGUUCAAGAACAUGGCAGAUCAUCCCUGUAGCAUUCACCCACAUGGUAUUGCUUAUGGGAAGCAGUCAGAGGGAUCAUUAUACUUUGACAACACGUCACUCUAUGAGAAAGAAGAUGAUGUCAUUUUACCCAGCCAAGAGCACACAUUCCAGUAGGAGGUGA
rnacentral:lncRNA from 1 species